rnacentral:snoRNA from 1 species
AACCCGUGAUGAGAGCCUUUGGUCUGAUAGCCUUUGAAGCACUCCCAUGCUUCCCAAAAGGUUUCAACAUUCUACUGUGUGAAUCCGGAUAUCUCAUUCCGGAGUCU